UACGUAGGGUGCGAGCGUUGUCCGGAAUUAUUGGGCGUAAAGAGCUUGUAGGCGGUCUGUCGCGUCUGCUGUGAAAAUCCGGGGCUCAACCCCGGACUUGCAGUGGGUACGGGCAGACUAGAGUGUGGUAGGGGAGACUGGAAUUCCUGGUGUAGCGGUGAAAUGCGCAGAUAUCAGGAGGAACACCGAUGGCGAAGGCAGGUCUCUGGGCCACUACUGACGCUGAGAAGCGAAAGCGUGGGGAGCAAACAGG
rnacentral:rRNA from 1 species